rnacentral:rRNA from 1 species
GGGUUGUGAGGUUAAGCGACUAAGCGUACACGGUGGAUGCCUUGGCAGUCAGAGGCGAUGAAGGACGUGCUAAUCUGCGAUAAGCGUCGGUAAGGUGAUAUGAACCGUUAUAACCGGCGAUUUCCGAAUGGGGAAACCCAGUGUGAUUCGUCACACUAUCAUUAACUGAAUCCAUAGGUUAAUGAGGCGAACCGGGGGAACUGAAACAUCUAAGUACCCCGAGGAAAAGAAAUCAACCGAGAUUCCCCCAGUAGCGGCGAGCGAACGGGGAGCAGCCCAGAGCCUGAAUCAGUGUGUGUGUUAGUGGAAGCGU